rnacentral:rRNA from 1 species
UACGGGGGGGGCAAGCGUUGUUCGGAAUUACUGGGCGUAAAGGGCUCGUAGGCGGCCAACUAAGUCAGACGUGAAAUCCCUCGGCUUAACCGGGGAACUGCGUCUGAUACUGGAUGGCUUGAGGUUGGGAGAGGGAUGCGGAAUUCCAGGUGUAGCGGUGAAAUGCGUAGAUAUCUGGAGGAACACCGGUGGCGAAGGCGGCGAUCCUGGACCAAAUCUGACGCUGAGGAGCGAAAGCCAGGGGAGCAAAACGGGG